rnacentral:rRNA from 1 species
CCAGGAGGUUGGCUUAGAAGCAGCCAUUCCUUUAAAGAGUGCGUAACAGCUCACUGGUCUAUGUGAUCUCGCGCCAAAAAUAUAACGGGGCUAAAGCUUUAACCGAAGAUGCGGGUGGUCUAUUACUUCGGUAAUAGAUCGCGGUAGAGGAGCGUUCCUGUCUGUGCUGAAGCAAAAUUGAGAAAUUUUGUGGAGCGGCAGGAAGUGAAAAUGUUGGCAUAAGUAACGUAAUUCGGGUGAAAAACCCGAACACCGAAUACCCAAGGUUUCCCAAGCAACGUUAAUCGGCUUGGGGUUAGUCGGGCCUAAGGUGAGGCCGAAAGGCGUAGCCGAUGGACAACAGGUUAAUAUUCCUGUACAACUUGAUUUUCGCCAGAGCAAUACUGGAGGGAAAUGGAUAUCGACUUUUGACAGCUUCGGCUUGAGAAAGAAGAUUUCCGUGGACUGAAAGUGGCGCUAGUUCAGGGGUAACGCGGUUGGAUAUUUAGAGCGUGUUAAUGAAUUCACGUACAAGCUGUUAGUUUAUGCCUCUUGAAGUAAAUCUCUUGAGGUUCGCGAGCAGUUAUGUAAAAUGCUCCCGCUUUGCGGGGGAGAUUCUAAAGAUUUCAACUGACGAGAAAAACCUCGGUAACGAGAAAAUCAGGUUUCCGUACCUCAAACCAACGCUGGUGGGUAGGUCGAGUAGACCAAGGUGAUCGAGAAAACUACUGCUAAGGAACUCGGCAAAACAGCAGGUGUAACUUCGGGAUAAACCUUGCCAGUGCUUUUACUCUUCGGAAUAGAAGUUCUGGCCGCAGCGAAAGAUUCCACGCAACUGUUUACCAAAAACACAGGUCUCUGCUAAGUCGUAAGACUAUGUAUAGGGGCUGACGCCUGCCCAGUGCCAGAAGGUUACGAGGAAGGGUUCACGCUCUGAAUCUAAGCCCUGGUGAACGGCGGCCGUAACUAUAACGGUCCUAAGGUAGCGAAAUUCCUUGUCGGGUAAGUUCCGACCCGCACGAAUGGUGUAAUGAUGUGGAAACUGUCUCGGCAGUAGACUCGGUGAAAUUGCAGAACUGGUAAAAAUGCCAGUUAACCGUGGAAAGACGGAAAGACCCCAUGGAGCUUUACUAUAACUUGACAUUGAUUCUGGGUAUGGCUUGUGCAGGAUAGGUGGGAGACUUUGAAGCCUGGACGUAAGUCCAGGUGGAGUCGCCCUUGAGAUACCACCCUUGCUAUGCUUAGGAUCUAACUUGCGCCAUUAAUCUGGUAUCAAGGACAUUGUUAGGUGGGUAGUUUGACUGGGGCGGUCGCCUCCUAAAAGGUAACGGAGGCGCGCAAAGGUUCCCUAGCGCUGGAUGGAAAUCAGCGUGAUAGUGUAAACGCAUAAGGGAGCUUGACUGCAAGACCUACAAGUCGAGCAGAUGCGAAAGCAGGUGUUAGUGAUCCGAUAGUGACACGUGGGUGUGCUAUCGCUCAACGGAUAAAAGUUACCCUGGGGAUAACAGGCUUAUAGAUCCCAAGAGUUCAUAUCGACGGAUCUGUUUGGCACCUCGAUGUCGGCUCGUCCUAUCCUGGGGCUGGAGAAGGUCCCAAGGGUUUGGCUGUUCGCCAAUUAAAAGGGUACGCGAGCUGGGUUCAGAACGUCGUGAGACAGUUCGGUCCUUAUCUUCCACGGUCGAAGGAUAUUUGAAGGAUGCCGCCCCUAGUACGAGAGGACCGGGGUGGACGAACCUCUAGUGUAUCUGUUGUCGCGUUAACGGCAUUGCAGAGUAGCUAUGUUCGGAUGGAUAACCGCUGAAAGCAUCUAAGUGGGAAGCCAUUCCUAAGAUUAAAUAUCCCCAUGAACCUCCCUGAAGAUUACAGGGUUGAUAGGCUGCAGAUAUACGCACAGCGAUGUGUUUAGUCGAGCAGUACUAAUAGGUCAUUGACUUAUUUUAUA